rnacentral:lncRNA from 1 species
ACAACAUGCGAAUUACACAGCAGAUACAAAUGCUGUAGAACAACUUUAUUGGAAAACAAAGAUGCAAUCUAAUUUCAGUUGGACAUUAAAUGUAGAGCCAGUGUACAAACUGUCUUUGCUCAUUUGGCAGACACUUUUAGUAUAAAUGAGGUACUAUCCAAUUAACAGUAUAUCAAAGAGAAGCAAUGUUGCAGGUACAUACAGCAAGGGAAUUAACAUUUACAUCGUGGUAUAGGAUAUCAAAGGGUGACUGUUUCUAGCCCUUGGAAAUCCAAAUCUCAUGUAUUCAUAAUGCCUUUCCUUUUCCACAAGUUAUGACAACCAAUGUGUGGGGUAUACAUUACUGCAAAGCAUAAUAUAUUAAGAAUACAUAACAAAACACACAUCUAGGGAUUAAAAAGAACAUUUCUCAUGACUUUUACAUUAAUGAGACCACAUGGGUGAUAUUCCCUCACUGUGUUGCAGCUUGUGGCAGCUGUUUACAGUUUGCAGUUUCCUAUAUGUUAGGUAAGUCUUUCCCCAUGUUUAUCAGAGUGUGGGAGAAAAUCCCUGAAGCUUGGGCUGGAUGUCCUCAGGAUCUUCACCACACUAUAACAACACUUCUAUAUUGCUUUCAAAAAUUAAGAGUCAAAGGAGUUUCCAUAGAAUAAGAGUCGGUCCAUGAGUGACUGAAUUACAAAUCUCACACCUCUUUCUUUAUACAUUUUCCUUAUCUUUCAAAGUUGACAUCAUUGUCCCAAAAAGUCAGUGAGUAGAGAAAGGAGGGGUAGAGACAGGAGGAAUAGAGACAGGAGGAAUAGUGAAAGGAGGGGUAGAGACAGGAGGAAUAGUGAAAGGAGGGGUAGAGAAAGGAGGGGUAGAGAAAGGAGGAAUAGUGAAAGUUGGGGGUAGAGAAAGGAUCGGUAGAGACAGGAGGAAUAGAGAAAGGAGGAAUAGUGAAAGUUGGGGUAGAGAAAGGAGGGGUAGAGAAAGGAGGAAUAGUGAAAGGAGGGGGUAGAGAAAGGAGGGGUAGAGAAAGGAGGAAUAGUGAAAGUUGGGGUAGAGAAAGGAUCGGUAGAGACAGGAGGAAUAGAGAAAGGAGGAAUAGUGAAAGUUGGGGUAGAGAAAGGAGGGGUAGAGAAAGGAGGGGUAGAGAAAGGAGGAAUAGUGAAAGUUGGGGUAGAGAAAGGAGGGGUAGAGACAGGAGGAAUAGAGAAAGGAGGAAUAGAGAAAGGAGGGGUAGAGAAAGGAGGGGUAGAGAAAGGAGGGGUAGAGAAAGGUAGAGAAAGGAGGAAUAGUGAAAGGAGGGGUAGAGAAAGGAGGGGUAGAGACAGGAGGAAUAGAGAAAGGAGGAAUAGAGAAAGGAGGAAUAGAGAAAGGAGGAAUAGAGAAAGGAGGGGUAGAGACAGGAGGAACAGAGAAAGGAGGAAUAGAGAAAGGAGGGGUAGAGAAAGGAGGAGUAGAGAAAGGAGGGGUAGAGAAGGAGGGGUAGAGAAAGGAGGAAUAGUGAAAGGAGGGUAGAGAAAGGAGGGUAGAGAAAGGAGGAAUAGUGAAAGGAGGGGUAGAGAAAGGAGGAAUAGUGAAAGGAGGGGUAGAGAAAGGAGGGUAGAGAAAGGAGGAAUAGUGAAAGGAGGGGUAGAGAAAGGAGGGGUAGAGAAAGGAGGAAUAGUGAAAGGAGGGGUAGAGAAAGGAGGGGUAGAGAAAGGAGGGGUAGAGAAAGGAGGAGUAGAGGAAGGAGGGGUAGAGGAAGGAGGGGUAGAGAAAGGAGGGGUAGAGAAAGGAGCGGCAGAGAAAGGAGGAAUAGUGAAAGGAGGGGUAGAGAAAGGAGGGAUAGACAGGAGGAAUAGUGAAAGGAGGAAUAUAGAAUGGAGGGGUAGAGAAAGGAGGGGUGGAGGAUUCAGACGGUGGCAGGUGUUAGUCUGACACAAGAAUACAUUUGUCUGUUUGUUAUGAUGACCUUCAGUUUACCUAAAAUACAAUGGUCGAGUUUGACGCGUGGGGCUAAAGAAAACAUUGCCUAUCUGAAAGGAGGCACAGAGAGAAUAGGGUUGGACUGCAAAUAAAGUUACAAAGAUGUGCUGAGCGAGUCAGAAAUGAAUUAAACCAAGUUUUAAACAAUAAGAAUGUAACAUCUGUUGACUGACUCUCUUGCCAACCUUGACUUUUUAACCACCAGUUAUCCUUUUCUUCAAAUACUCCCUAACUUUCCCACAGUGGAGAAACAACUUUUCAAAUACUCCUGACAACAGAUGCAACCCACUUUUCACAUUCUGCUGAUAUUUGAUCUAUUCUUGCUUAACUAGUGGUGUAACUAAUGUUAUUCUUUUAGCUGUUAACCUUUACUUUUCAUGACCUUACCUUCUGCCUUUACACCAUUAAAUCUCAGUGUCUGCCGUAUAGACUAAAAUACUUUAAUGAUUAACAAUAUACAAAUAUCUUCAUAUUUCGGGCAGUUGCUGACUAAAAUAAUUAUCCUGCUUCAAAAGAUAUCCAACGAGUACAACUUGUUUAGUCUUUUGUUUGAGGUCUUCCAUAGUUGGUCAAACCACAGUGACAUCUUUAGAGUCCUGAUAGUUCAUCUCAGCCCUGACAGUUA